rnacentral:rRNA from 1 species
UUGAGUGGCGGACGGGUGAGUAACGCGUGGGUAACCUGCCCUGUACAGGGGGAGUAACAGUCGGAAAUGACUGCUAAUACCGCAUAAGACCACAGCACCGCAUGGUGCAGGGGUAAAAACUCCGGUGGUACAGGAUGGACCCGCGUCUGAUUAGCCGGUUGGUGAGGUAACGGCUCACCAAGGCGACAAUCAGUAGCCGGCUUGAGAGAGUGAACGGCCACAUUGGGACUGAGACACGGCCCAAACUCCUACGGGAGGCAGCAUG